UCGGGAAGAAAUUAUCGGCCA
rnacentral:piRNA from 1 species